GAUUAUGGCUCAGGAUGAACGCUAGCUACAGGCUUAACACAUGCAAGUCGAGGGGCAGCAUGAGCUUAGCUUGCUAAGCUUGAUGGCGACCGGCGCACGGGUGAGUAACGCGUAUCCAACUUCCCCUUAGUAGGGCAUAGCCCGGUGAAAAUCGGAUUAAUACCCUAUGUUCUUCACAGCGGGCAUCUAACGUGAAGCAAAGGUUCACCGCUAAGGGAUGGGGAUGCGUCUGAUUAGGUAGUCGGCGGGGUAACGGCCCACCGAGCCAUCGAUCAGUAGGGGUUCUGAGAGGAAGGUCCCCCACAUUGGAACUGAGACACGGUCCAAACUCCUACGGGAGGCAGCAGUGAGGAAUAUUGGUCAAUGGGCGCGAGCCUGAACCAGCCAAGUAGCGUGCAGGAAUGACGGCCCUAUGGGUUGUAAACUGCUUUUAUGCGGGGAUAAAGUCACCCACGUGUGGGUGUUUGCAGGUACCGCAUGAAUAAGGACCGGCUAAUUCCGUGCCAGCAGCUGC
rnacentral:rRNA from 1 species